rnacentral:rRNA from 1 species
UACGUAGGUGACAAGCGUUGUCCGGAUUUACUGGGCGUAAAGAGCGCGCAGGCGGUCGAUCAAGUCGAGUGUGAAAGCCCCCGGCUCAACUGGGGAGGGUCAUUCGAUACUGAUCGACUCGAAGGCAGGAGAGGGUAGUGGAAUUCCCGGUGUAGUGGUGAAAUGCGUAGAUAUCGGGGAGGAACACCAGUGGCGAAGGCGACUACCUGGCCUGUUCUUGACGCUGAGGCGCGAAAGCUAGGGGAGCAACGGG